rnacentral:rRNA from 1 species
CCUACGGGGGACAGCAGUGAGGAAUAUUGGUCAAUGGACGAGAGUCUGAACCAGCCAAGUAGCGUGAAGGAUGACUGCCCUAUGGGUUGUAAACUUCUUUUAUAAAGGAAUAAAACGAGGCACGUGUGCCUUGUUGCAUGUACUUUAUGAAUAAGGAUCGGCUAACUCCGUGCCAGCAGCCGCGGUAAUACGGAGGAUCCGAGCGUUAUCCGGAUUUAUUGGGUUUAAAGGGAGCCUAGAUGGGUUGUUAAGUCAGUUGUGAAAGUUUGCGGCUCAACCGUAAAAUUGCAAUUGAUACUGGCAGUCUUGAGUACAGUUGAGGUAGGCGGAAUUCGUGGUGUAGCGGUGAAAUGCUUAGAUAUCACGUAGAACCCCGAUUGCGAAGGCAGCUUACUAAACUGUGACUGACAUUGAUGCUCGAAAGUGUGGGUAUCAAACAGGAUUAGAUACCCCUGUAGUC